CUAGCUUGGAAUGAAUUUCAUCAUAUCAUAGGAAUUAUAUUGCAUAUAGAAUAAAAGAUCAUUAAUUAAGCACAGAAAGUGGUUAAUUAGGCAAUGUAGUAGAGGGGAUCAGGGAGCUUGAAAGUCCUUUCACCAGUAUUGGUUCCAAGAAUAUCACUCCAUUGAUCUCCAAUGUUUCCAACAAUUCUGUAUCCUUCUUCCUCCAAUUUCUUUCUCUCAGAUGAUUUGUAUGUAACUGCUGUUUUACCAUGAUAUAUGGUUGUAUUCCUGCAACCAAAAAAAUUUAGUAUAUUUUUUAAUGUACAUACAAAUUAAUACUAUUUUUUUUAAGUUUAAUAUAAUAUGCUAGUUUAAGUCGUUGAUUAUUUUAGUUAUAUAAUAUGUAGUGCUGGAUUCAUGACAAUGACUAAAUUGUGAAAAAAGUUAAGCUAUAUGAUCACGAAUGAUUAGUUUAUUGAAUUAUUAUCAUUCUUUUAAUUAAUUAAUGAAACGUAAAAUUAAACUACUAUUAAUGGAUCUAUCAUCUCUAGCUAGUUGGCUCAUGUUAAUUCAAUUUUAUUAAAUAAAAUAAAAUUAGAAAACUUACUUGAGAAUUAACUUCUCCCAUUUCUUAAAGCCAGCACGUCUCAAGUUCUUAGCUGUAAUUUCUUUCUGUUUGAGUGGUCUGCCUGUUAAGAACGCAAUCUUGAUACCAAGAGACAACAAUUUAUUGUACAAUUUUUUAGAUUCAGGAAGUGCUGGUGCUGUUCCAAGAUCAACCCAUUGAUUAAAUAAUGUAUCAUUGUAUGGUUCCACCCUAUCAAUUCAUUAUAUAUAUGUGUUAAAUAGCAUAUAUAUACAAAAAGUAAAACAAAAUGCAAAGUUAGAGUAUGAAAACUAAAGAUAAAGAUGAUCGAUCAUACCCAAAUCCGUGUUUAGCAUAAUAUGGAAGAUUUGAUAGUGAAGUUUCAUCAAUAUCAAAAACCCAUAUGUCUUUACCAGUUGUUAUAUUAAGAGUCUUUGCAUAGAAAUAACCUUCACGGUUAACUGCUUUAGAGUCAGCUCUAUAUUGAUCACCUAACAUAUAGUUCCCAAUAUAUUUCUCACAUUCUUUUGGUAUAGUUUUCCAAUUUAUGAUGUUGUGUGCUUCAAUACCAAGUCUCCAACUAGCACAUGAUACUUCUUCAAUGUAAUGGCCACCUGAGCCAGAUUUCACUCGAAGUGGGAAAAUUUGGUUAUUUGAACCAUGAUCAUCAUCAUGGUUUAGAAUGUUACCAUGACAUGUAACUAAGAGUGUAACAAAAAAGAAAAUGAGGAUCUUCUUCAUUCUUAAUAUAGUUGUUCACUUAAUUGCUUAUUGUGUUGUGGAGGGUUUUGUUCUUUAUAUAGACAUUUUCUCUAGUUAAGAGAAACAUGGUUGUCAAUAUAAUAAUAGGACAAUGAAAAAUGUGUACAAAUUAUUUAUUAUAUAUUUCUUAUUCUUGAUUGAAAUGAGGAAUUAAAUAUUUUAAGACUACUCCUUAGUCCUUAGUAUGAAUCGCCCUAUCGUAAAAGGGUUUAAAGGUAAAUCAAACCUUUCAAUUUAAUUGGGUAUUACCGAUUUAAAAAAUUUUGUGGUCAAAAGUUGGAACCCAUAUGUUAUGCAUGGAUGAUAUAUAUAUAUAUAAAUGAAA
rnacentral:lncRNA from 1 species